AAGUUGUCAGUUGACAGUCAUCAGUCCGAGGCUUGCGAGGGAGUCCCUGCAGAGCGUUGGUCGUGUCAAGUCGUCGCGUGAGUUGCUGCAGCUGCUUCGACCGCGCCUCCUGCAGCUCGACGUAGCGCGCGGCCUCGAUGAGCGUCUCGAGGCUCAUGGCUGGCGGCGCGGCGCGCACCCGCGUGCCGACCGCUCGCGCUCACGCGACUGCCCGGCUGGCGCGCUGCUGCUGCUGCUGGCCCGGCGGCGCCGGGGCGGAGACCAUGACGCCCCCGACACCGCGUGCUGCCGCCGCUGCCACGCCGAUACACGGCGCCUGCCUCGCGGCCGCGGCCGGCGCGCACGCUCGCACCGCGCAGGCGCCGCCCGGGCGCGCGCUCCGCCUGUGCCAGCGCCCAGCCGGCAGUGCCGGCCCGGGACCGCGACUGCCGCGCCGCGCCACGCGUUGCCAACGGCGACUGCCAAUGAUCUGCAGGGCGGCCCGUGACGUCACAAAGGGCGACGCGCCACCGCCGGCCGCGCACGAGGCGCGCAGCCGCCGACCCGCACUGCCAUCGCCCCCUUUCUCUACGUUACACGGACGGGGUGUGCCAAAAACUGCCACCGCCACGAAACUCCGGGAACGCGAUCGUUCGAGUCCCCCACCCCUAAAGCACUUUUACACUUCCACUACGUCUGUCACACGUACACAAUAUCCGACACCCGACUACAAACACAUUCGACUAGAAUCGUUACACGUUCCGUAGUGGGCAGGCGGGUGGAAACCGCAAGUUAUCAACCACCACUGCAGCGUAGUCACAAACGCGCGCGAGCGCACAGUUCGUGGUCGCAGCGAAAUCGAUCCGCAUGCAGGUCCGUUUUGCUAUUUCGCCCUUCCUCGCCGUCGCUGGCACGGUGAGAGCUGCUCGGCGGUCGUCCCUCCUCACUGCGCAUCAAACUACUGCCAUGCCGCCUGCCUGAUACGGUUCACGUGUCCGGGCCCGGGAACCGACCAAUAGCGCAGCUCGGCGUGACGUAACAGCGGCAGGGCGUGUUCGCUGGCGCACAUUUCCCGGCGCCCCUCUCCUGUCUCCCCUCCUUCCCCCACCACUCUACGCAGCCGGGCACGCCGGCUCGAACGGCAGCGGGGCAGAACCCCCCUACCUCCUGCCUUUUGUCGGACACUCGGCCGGCUCGCAGCUUCGAGUAAUGUGCUGUUCUCGGCGGAAGAACUUUCGUGAAUCGACGCCCAGACAAAUCGGAUUUCACUAGCGAAGCCAUCGAGGCGAGCGGCAAUCGCAGUCCGAGCAAGUCACGCUUAGAGAGAGAGAGAGAGAGAGAGAGAGAGAGAGAGAGAGAGAGAGAGAGAGUUGGCCCCCCCACCAGAGCAAACGCCUACCCCCUCUCCCCACCCAUCGCGAGAGCCGUGUCAUUGAGCCCGGGAAGCGAGGGGGAAAAAGCUUCUGCUGUCACGUUCCGCGGCUGUCACAUGGUAGCGCGGCGUUGCCGCAUCCGCUACACAAACAAAGACACGCAAUCGAUGCACUUCAAAUAUAGCCGGCACUGUCAUCGGAGACCUCAGAACGGCGUCAUUUACGAUGUACCAAAGAAAGUUUACAACAGAAUUUAAAAAAAAUUCCAUAAUUUCAUUAAUGUGCGGUGGCACUGGUUUGCAAGUACAUUUGUGAACAUACUGUUUCUUUCUAGACAAAAAUAAAUGGCCCACUCUUUAAGUAUAUGUAGGCAUAAUAGAAAUGUUUAUGUAACUGAAAUAACUUUUCCCCUCACCUUUGAGAUUGAGUUCCACGAUGAAAACAGGUUGAGUAAAUCUAACAGAAACCGAAUGUAACUUUAGAGAAAAGAAUAUUUGUAAUAAACUAAACGUGCCAGAAGGCAGCUUCUCUAAAGUACUUGCUACAAAUAAUUAUUAUUUUGCAGAACUGCACUUCUAGUAUAAGCCAAAAGUGUAUUUUGUAAGGAGUAUUUUCUAGAGCACAUCUUUGUACGUCCACACCACUCUCUCGUAUCUCAAAAUUAUUGUGCAGGUGUCAUCUUUUGUAAUUAUUGGGCAAUUAUGUGUGUGAUAUGAAAAUUCCUUUUCAUAAAACAAAUAAUUCGGGAAGUUCCAUGGAUGAUCCAGUCAUUUAUGAGAGACAAUAUGUAUUGUAGACUCAUAAAUCAGCCAGUAUUAUAGUUCUAUCAAAGCUCUGAAAUUGUUGUACAUUUCAAACAAAGGUAAUAUAGCUUGACUUAUCCUGUGAUUGGUACUAGUUUGUCGCCGUCUUCCAAUAAAGCAUUUGUUCAAAUAAGUCGCUGGAAUUUGCAGAUAACUGUUAAGUUCGCUGAUGGGUUCUCUGCAAUGUAAACACACCCAAUGUUUGCAUAUAAGCUGCUCCCCCCCCCCCCCCCCCUAACUUUAGAAUCAUUGUGUAAGUAUAAGAGACAACCAUUUGUCUAGAGUAAGCAAACGAUUCACAUCAUUCAAUGAUGCCAACUCAUGCCACAUAACCCAAGUGUCCACAUUACUUAUACAGUAGAAAUAGAGUACAAUGAUAUGGAACAGGAUUUCAAAAGGAAUUUGAAAAAGACUAAGGAACAUAAGGAGAGUGUCAUUCUAUAGUAGAACUAAUUCAUAAACAACAUACUGUGCAUAAAUAUUUUUAAUGACAAAGUGACAAGUUCAUGGAUACAUUGGCUGCUCGCAUUUAUGAAAACAAAGAUAAUUAU